AUGGCGUGGAAGGCGGCCAUGGGGGGUAAGGCGGCCGGCAUCGGAGGCGAGAAGCUCAAGUGCCCGCCGUCGUCCGCCGCAAGGUCGCGGAUGAAGCUCUGGAUGGUGCGCGCCACCACCACCGUCCUGCUCUGGACCUGCGUCAUGCAGCUCACCGCCGUCGGCGAGACGUGGGGCCCGCGGGUGCUCAAGGGAUGGCCCUCCUGCCUCACGCCCCCCGAGGAGGCCGCCGCCGUGCGCCCGGCCGUCGUCGAGAGGGCCGCGUUGCUGCCGCCCAAAAGAAUUUACAGGAACAAUGGUUAUUUGAUGGUCUCAUGCAAUGGUGGUCUUAACCAAAUGCGAGCUGCUAUAUGUGAUAUGGUUGUAAUAGCAAGAUAUUUGAAUGUCACUUUGGUUGUGCCAGAGUUGGACAAGACUUCUUUUUGGAAUGACCCGAGUGAGUUUCAAGAUAUAUUUGACGUCGAACACUUUAUAACCUCCUUACGCGACGAAGUUCGCAUACUGAGGGAACUGCCUCCAAGGGUAAAGCGAAGAGUUGAACUUGGUAUGUUCCACUCAAUGCCACCUAUCAGUUGGUCUGAUAUCUCCUAUUACCAUAAUCAGAUUCUUCCAUUGAUUCGAAAACACAAGGUUCUGCAUUUGAAUAGAACUGACGCUAGGCUAGCAAACAAUGGUUUACCUAUGGAGAUUCAAAAACUGAGAUGCAGAGUAAAUUAUGCCUCUCUGAGAUUUACCGCUGAAAUUGAAGAUUUGGGCAAGCGUGUAAUUAGAAUACUUCGCCAAAAUGGUCCUUUCUUGGUUCUUCAUUUACGUUACGAAAUGGAUAUGCUGGCUUUCUCUGGCUGUACUCAAGGUUGCAGUAACGAAGAGGCAGAAGAGCUCGCAAGAAUGAGGUAUGCUUAUCCGUGGUGGAAAGAGAAAAUCAUCGACUCGGACUUGAAAAGAAAAGAUGGCCUUUGCCCAUUGACGCCAGAGGAGACUGCUCUUGUCCUCAGAGCAUUGGACAUUGAUAGAAGUAUGCAAAUAUACAUCGCAGCUGGGGAAAUAUAUGGUGGAAAACGCAGGAUGGCAGCUCUCACUUCAGCUUAUCCGAAUGUGGUGAGGAAAGAGACACUUCUGGAACCUUCUGAUCUAAUGUUCUUCCAGAACCAUUCGUCCCAAAUGGCUGCACUGGAUUACAUGGUUUCUCUAGAAAGUGAUAUAUUUGUUCCAACAUAUGAUGGCAAUAUGGCUAAAGUUGUUGAGGGUCAUCGCAGGUUCAUGGGUUUCAAGAAGACGAUCUUGUUAGAUCGAAAACUCAUCGUCGACCUAGCAGAUCAGUACAACAACGGUUCGUUGCGAUGGGAUGAGUUCUCUUUGUUGAUCAAGGCUGCCCACGCAGGGCGGAUGGGAUCAGCCUCGAAGCGGACAGUGAUUCCCGACAGACCCAAGGAGGAGGACUACUUCUAUGCAAACCCCCAGGAGUGCCUGCAAGGCCCCGACCGCCUACGCACAUCAUGA
rnacentral:rRNA from 1 species